rnacentral:sRNA from 1 species
ACAGAGUGGGAAUAAAGAGCCAAUAUAAUAUGGAUGGGGAAUGCCGAUAAAUCAACGUUUUUCAACUUAUGAAAUGCUUGAUUUUCAUUGAAAAUGAUAUGGUUCCCUACCAAAAUAAAACCCUGCUAAGAUGAUUCUUGGCAGGGAAUUUUUU